CUACGGGGGGCAGCAGUGGGGAAUAUUGCACAAUGGGCGCAAGCCUGAUGCAGCCAUGCCGCGCGUAUGAAGAAGGCCUUCGGGUUGUAAAGUACUUUCAGCGGGGAGGAAGGGAGUAAAGUUAAUACCUUUGCUCAUUGACGUUACCUGCAGAAGAAGCACUGGCUAACUCCGUGCCAGCAGCCGCGGUAAUACGGAGGGUGCAAGCGUUAAUCGGAAUUACUGGGCGUAAAGCGCACGCAGGCGGUUUGUUAAGUCAGAUGUGAAAUCCCCGGGCUCAACCUGGGAACUGCAUCUGAUACUGGCAAGCUUGAGUCUCGUAGAGGGGGGUAGAAUUCCAGGUGUAGCGGUGAAAUGCGUAGAGAUCUGGAGGAAUACCGGUGGCGAAGGCGGCCCCCUGGACGAAGACUGACGCUCAGGUGCGAAAGCGUGGGGAGCAAACAGGAUUAGAUACCCUUGUAGUC
rnacentral:rRNA from 1 species